UGACAUGUCUGAUUUGGUUCUAGGCUUAUCUCAGUGCCAUCAUUGUAUACCUUUAUGCUCAUGACUUCCAGCAAGCAGAGAAGUGCCACAAUGAUUGUUGCCAGAUUGAAGCUUUCUUGAACAGUGAUCAAAAUCGUUGUGCCAAUAAACUUCUUUCUGCUUAUUCUGAUGGGGAUGUGGAGGAAAUCAAACGGGUGGCUCAAUCAAGCACUAUUUCCAAUCUAGACCACGCGAUCAUCAGGCAUGCUCGGAAAUUGGCCGAUGGUGAUGUAACUUCGUUGAAGGGUGCUGCCCCAGAAAGAAGAGCCCUUAGAUGAAGAUGAUCUUACCUAGCCUCUCACAUUGAUUGACAUAGCUUCUGAGUGUGUUGAAUAAUUUUCAUUAUGUCAUUUGAUUUGAAGAUAAGAAGUUGAUGCCCUCUCAUUUUCAAGUGUAUUUUCAGAUUAAAUUUGGCGAAGUAGAAUGGUCAAGGUCUUUACAUGAUCACGAGGGUUCGAACUCCAUGGUUUCCAAAUCCCCCUUCUUUUCCUGUUUCUUUUCACAUCUCACCUGCUGAACCUAUCCAAAGGGAGAAGAAGAAUUUGUAGCCAAUGAAAAAUGAAGAGGAGACAUAUUUUCGUUUUUCUUUGUAACAGCCAUUUGCAAACUUAGUGCCUCUAUUUUCUGGUGGUAUGUUCUCCAUUACAUAUUCCUUGUUCAUAUCUAAUGCUUCUGACUGAUAUUGUGUUAUUGAAAGCGAACUCGUUUAUCCAAA